UACCAGCACCCCGAGUGGUCGGGACGAUUAUUGGGCCUAAAGCAUCCGUAGCCGGUUUUACAAGUCCUCCGUUAAAUCCAGCUGCUUAACAGAUGGGCUGCGGAGGAUACUAUAAGACUAGGAGGCAGGAGAGGCAAGCGGUACUCAGUGGGUAGGGGUAAAAUCCGUUGAUCCAUUGAAGACCACCAGUGGCGAAGGCGGCUUGCCAGAACGCACUCGACGGUGAGGGAUGAAAGCUGGGGGCGCAAACCGG
rnacentral:rRNA from 1 species